rnacentral:rRNA from 1 species
GACGAACGCUGGCGGCGUGCUUAACACAUGCAAGUCGAACGGAAAGGCCCUGCUUUUGUGGGGUGCUCGAUUGGCGAACGGGUGAGUAACACGUGAGUAACCUGCCCUUGACUUUGGUAUAACUUCAGGAAACUGGGGCUAAUACCGGAUAGGAGCUCCUGCUGCAUGGUGGGCGUUGGAAAGUUUCGGCGGUUGGGGAUGGACUCGCGGCUUAUCAGCUUGUUGGUGGGGUAGUGGCUUACCAAGGCUUUGACGGGUAGCCGGCCUGAGAGGGUGACCAGCCACAUUGGGACUGAGAUACGGCCCAGACUCCAACGGGAGGCAGCAGUGGGGAAUAUUGCACAAUGGGCGGAAGCCUGAUGCAGCAACGCCGCGUGCGGGAUGACGGCCUUCGGGUUGUAAACCGCUUUCGCCUGUGACGAAGCGGGAGUGACGGUAAUGGGUAAAGAAGCACCGGCUAACUACGUG